UGGCUCAGUUAGUGGAGAAUGGCGCUUGCAAUGCCAGGGUUGUGGGUUCGAAUCCCAC
rnacentral:tRNA from 1 species